rnacentral:rRNA from 1 species
ACGUAGGUGGCAAGCGUUAUCCGGAUUUAUUGGGUUUAAAGGGUGCGUAGGCGGCCUUAUAAGUCGGUGGUUAAAGGCAGCAGCUUAACUGUAUGCAUGCCAUCGAUACUGUAGGGCUUGAAUUAUCAGAAGGUAGGCGGAAUUUCUGGUGUAGCGGUGAAAUGCAUAGAUACCAGAAGGAACACCGAUUGCGAAGGCAGCUUACUGCAGAUACAUUGACGCUGAUGCACGAAAGCGUGGGGAGCGAACAGG